CUGUCUCUGAGUGGCCUGGCCUAAAUGUGGAGGAGCUAUAUUCAGACGGCUGUGAGUGUGGGCGUUCAGUGAGAGAGAGCGGCUCAGGCAGCGAAGUUGCCUACACACUCCUUCAUUCUGACUCACUCUUCACAGUGGUACAUGAGGACAAAAGUCAGGACCAGACGAGCUGAAGAACCAGACUGAGUAAAACAAAGUGUGAGCCGGCGUCACUUCCUCCAUCCUGGGAGCCAGCUGCCUUUGCACACUACACUUUUAAUCAUGCUCUCAGCAGCUUGAAGCAGAUCUUGUAUGAAGAGGCCGUUGAUUUAGUUACAGGAAGAAAAGGAGCUGCUGUGAAUUCCACUCACAGCGUACUCAUCAAAGAUGAUAUUCAUCUGGCUUGCUGAGUCAUGUAACAGACAACAAUCCACCAGUCACGGAACCAAUAAUCUUUGGGUUUCUUGGCUUGAUUAGCUGUGUUUGCAGUCAAUACACUGGAGGAAGCUGAGAUUAUAAGCAGCACUGUUGUUUGGUGUCAUAACAAACUGGCCUGCCCUCCAUUCAAGUCCCGUUCAGCCAUGCUCGUUCACACACAUCGACUGAAGAAAAAGCCGCCCUGUGUCUGGGCCCCAACAGUAGAGCCAGAGAGAGACAGAAAGUGAGAGCUGAUCAGUGAGGGACCCCUGCUGGUGCUCCUACAUCGCUGCAGGUGCCUCAUAUCAGGUCAUUUUAAAGUGAUAAAGUUCUGUGACAGAUUCAGGAGGCUUCGCAGGUCUGUGGGCUGUGUGCGAGAGGGUAGGACAGGAAAGGGUGGGCGAAAGGAGACUCGUGUUUCCUCCUGUCUCUUCACUCCCGGCCCUCAGGUGAUCGAUCAGCAGAGACCAAGCUAAUGCACGCCCACGCGUGCUGAUGCAAUACACAAGUGCAUGGUAGCACACAGUUGCAUUCUGCACACCCAAAUAUAACGAUGCACAUGUUUCCAUAAAGUGUGGAAAAGAAAGCUGAUUUACUUCCAUCAUAAAUAAAAUCUGAUUCACACUUUCACUCUUGUAAACCAUAGCAUCAUCCUCAGCUAUGUGUUUAUUGUUGCCUUUAAUAAGACUCUGGAAUAAUUUGGGGGAAAAAAAGGACAAUUUGAAAAAUCAGUAAUCAUUAAUUAUAUUGUUUGGGUAAUAAGCAGCUGUGUCUUUUACAUUUUUUUUAUUCCAGCCUUUGUAUUAGUAGUUAGCAGGUUGGAUUUAUGAUCACUACUGAGUGAUAAAAUCAUCUAUAGUAAGAUAUGUAAUACACAGUAUAUAUAAAGUAUAUAGUACAUAUACUCUUUAAUGUGGCAUUUCAGUGUUCUACUACCUAAGAAGUGCACUACUAUGUGCCCAAAAGUGCUGUUUUAUAUUCAGUCACAAAUAAAGCUAGUCUACUAAACACCUGGUCACUUUAAGGACAUAUAUUAUAUUAAUUUUUAAUAUGUGCCAUCUAUAAACACACUCAAAUUUUUUAGACACACCUGUUUACCUGCUCAUUCAAGUAAUUAUGCAAUCAGCCAAUAAUCUGGAAGCAGUGCAAUACAUAAAAUCAGCCGUGAUCUCAUGUUCUUUGUCCUAAAUGGUCUGGUAAGUGUUUCAGACACACAAUCUAUAGAGUUUACUAAAAAUGAAACCAUUCAGCUGCAGUUCAACAAGCUAAAACACCUUGUUGAUAAGAGAGGUCAGAGGAGAAGGGCUAGACAGGUUCGAAUUCACUUUGGAAACUCAAAUAAUCACUCUAUACAACCAUGGUGAGCAGAAAUGCAUCAAAGAAGUCACAAGACACAGAACGAUAAGGUGGAUGAUGAGGCGUGAGUCAUGAGGCGGAUGUUCUACAACAUCAGAAGACCACAUGGGGUUAUACUAAUGUCAGCCAAGAACUGGAAUCUGAGGCAGUAUGCACAGGUUCACAGAAACUGGACAGCUAAAUGUAAGAAAAAGUCCAUCUUCAACAUUUCAGUUCCUGUGAGUCAUCAUAAUAAACUAGAUGUUAAUCUCUGGGGACUAUAUGUACAGUAUAUAGUAUAUAGAUGCGUAUACCACACAUACAGUAUACACACACACAAAUAAAUCAGGUUUUCAAAUCAAAGCAAAUAAAAGAAUGUCAUAUAUUUAGAAGUAAGGGACAUAGUUUCAUUUGUACUUUUACUGGAACUGAUUUUGUGCGCUUGAUAAUAGAAAUGUAAAAUGUACUUUUAUUCUAUCUUCCCUUCUUAAUAUGAUAUUCAGUCUGGUAUGCGUCAUUAUUAGACAAGGUAAGAGUGGAAACUAUUAUAAAGUAUUUAUGCAUAGAUUUUUUUUUCUUAUAAAUUUCUAGACAUAAAAUUGAUGAAUAUUGGAUGUCUGUAUGCAUGUUAGGUAUGUCUAAAUGAAUAAUAAUUUGAGGUUUUUCAGAAUCCUUUGGUAUAGCGCUCUCUAAUAUAUCUAUAUUGUCAGGUUAGUUGUAUAUUAUUGCUAAUUAUUGCUAAUUAUUCUUGACUCCAAUGUGAAAUUUUGAGCAACACCAUGUGCUUCAGGAGACGAAAGCAAAGCUGACAUCACUGCCUCACAUGCACACACACGUCGCUGCUCCUGCAGGCUGCCAUGGCAGCAGUGUGUCAUGUCAACAGCAGCUCACCUUGAAUGAAUGUUACUGUAGGCCUGUGGGAGCUGCAGAUCCGCCCUCGGCUGCGGGGGUGGGUCAGACGUGCGUCAGUCAUUAAGCGCUGCUACACACCCAUGGCAACGAGCAUUGUUUGUGUACGAGCCUGCCAGGACACGGCACAAGUCAGUCUCCCUCUGUCCCAGGGACAGCACACCCUGGGGACAGCCAACAAGACGCCAACACCCUUCUGUUGUGAUUCUCUGUAUUUACUCUAGGGUUUGGUUUCCCAGAGGAGGGUUAAACCUUUUAUUAUUAGUGAACAGGAUUUUUUAAUGAAGAGCUCCUAUGUGAGUUUGUGUUGUUAUUAUUGACGACCUUUACCUUCAUUUUGAACCUCACAAUUACCUGUCCAUUUAGCGGGAGCCAUCUCCUGUGCCAUGGUGAGGGAUGAGGAUGCUUCCUUGUAUCUGUUUCAACAGGGUCAAGCUCUUUGGGGGAGGCAGGGACAGCACGUUUCCAUGGCAAUGUGCUCGCAGGCUCUUCCUCUGAGGAUGAAGAGGCUCUGUAGCAAUAAGGAUGGCUUGCUUGGAAUGUCUUUGAAGAAUUCUGUAUUCUGCUGGCCUUGUUCCAGGCAGAAUGCACAGCAUGCAACCGAAGGCAUUUCUCUGUGGGUUAAAUGUAAUUACACUUGCGCACAUAGCAAUGUGUUUUGGUAAGGAUUUUAAUGCUCAUUGUUUCUGUGUACAAGCUGGCAGCUGACAGAAGAGGAUUCCCGUAACACAAUCCUGCAUACUGUAAUGCUUCUAAUAAUAAGGUGAAGUGGUGGAUUAAGAUAAAUCUGA